rnacentral:rRNA from 11 species
ACGGCGGCUGUCAGCAAUUGGUCCUAAGGUAGCAAAAUUCCUUGACAGGUAAGUUCCGUCCAGCAUGAGCGGUGUAACGACUUCUUCACUGUCCCUAGCCUUGUCUCUCAGAAAUUGAGUCCUCCUUGAUUACCAGGAACGUAUCUGCCUGACGGUGAGACCCUGAGCACCUUUCCU